GACGAAGGAUGCAAGCGUUAUCCGGAUUCAUUGGGUUUAAAGGGAGCGUGGGCGGAUUGGUAAGUCAGUGGUGAAAUCUGUGGGCUUAACCCACAAACUGCCAUUGAUACUGCUGAUCUAGAGUACAGUUGCCGUUGGCGGAAUAUGACAUGUAGUGGUGAAAUACUUAGAUAUGUCAUAGAACACCGAUUGCGAAGGCAGCUAACGAAACUGUAACUGACGCUGAGGCUCGAAAGUGCGGGGAUCAAACAGG
rnacentral:rRNA from 1 species